UGGGGAAUAUUGGACAAUGGGCGAAAGCUGAUCCAGCCAUGCCGCGUGUGUGAAGAAGGUCUUCGGAUUGUAAAGCACUUUAAGUUGGGAGGAAGGGCAUUAACCUAAUACGUUGGUGUCUUGACGUUACCGACAGAAUAAGCACCGGCUAACUCUGUG
rnacentral:rRNA from 1 species